AAAACCUCAUCAGUGUAUCCUCACCUCACCCGUGUAUCCUCACCUCAUCAGUGUAUUAAAACCUCAUCAGUGUAUCCUCACCUCAUCCGUGUAUUAAAACCUCAUCAGUGUAUUAAAACCUCAUCUGUGUAUUAACCAUGUGCAGCAUUCGACAAAGAUUUAGUCCUACUGUAGAGUGCCCCAUAGUGGAGAAAGGAGGUCAAACCUAGUGUGUAGAUUCUACCAGCAGUCAGUCAGGUGGUCCUAGUAGUCAUAGCGUUGCGUCUCAAAUGGAAUCCCAUUCCCUAUAUAGUGCACUACUUUGAAACUUCAGAACCCACAGGGCUCUGGUCUAAAGUAGUGUACAAUAUAGGGAAUAGGGUGUCAUAGGGCUCUGGUCUAAAGUAGUGUACAAUAUAGGGAAUAGGGUGCCAUUUUAGAUGUACCACUAUUAUGCAAUCAACUCAUGUAAAAGUUAGUUACUGAGCUCCUCCUCAAUGACGUGGUGAUACAGAGGGAGGUCCUCCUCAGUGAUGUGGUGUUAGAGGGAGGUCCUCCUCAGUGAUGUGGUGUUAGAGGGAGGUCCUCCUCAGUGAUGUGGUGAUACAGAGGGAGGUCCUCCUCAGUGAUGUGGUGUUAGAGGGAGGUCCUCCUCAACAACGUGGUGUUAGAGAGGGAGGUCCUCCUCAACGAUGUGGUGUUAGAGGGAGGUCGUCCUCAGUGACGUGGUGAUACAGAGGGAGGUCCUCCUCAGUGAUGUGGUGUUAGAGGGAGGUCCUCCUCAACGACGUGGUGUUAGGAGGUCCUCCUCAACGACGUGGUGAUACAAAGGGAGGUCCUCCUCAACGACGUGGUGAUACAAAGGGAGGUCCUACUCAGUGACGUUGUGUUAGAGAGGGAGGUCCUCCUCAGUGACAUGGUGUUAGAGAGGGAGGUCCUCCUCAGUGACGUGGUGUUAGAGAGGGAGGUCCUCCUCAACAACGUGGUGUUAGAGAGAGAGGUCCUCCUCAGUGAUGUGGUGUUAGAGGGAGGUCGUCCUCAGUGACGUGGUGAUACAGAGGGAGGUCCUCCUCAGUGAUGUGGUGUUAGAGGGAGGUCCUCCUCAACGACGUGGUGAUACAGAGGGAGUUCCUCCUCAGUGACGUGGUGUUAGAGGGAUGUCCUCCUCAGUGACGUGGUGUUACAAGAGGGAGGUCCUCCUCAGUGACGUGGUGUUAGAGAGGGAGGUCCUCCUCAGUGACGUGGUGUUAGAGAGGGAGGUCCUCCUCAACGAUGUGGUGAUAUAGAGGGAGGUCCUCCUCAGUGACGUGGUGAUACAGAAGGAGGUCCUCCUCAGUGACGUGGUGUUAGAGAGGGAGGUUCUCCUCAGUGACGUGGUGAUACAGAAGGAGGUCCUCCUCAGUGACGUGGUGUUACAGAGGGAGGUCCUCCUCAGUGACGUGGUGUUACAGAGGGAGGUCCUCCUCAGUGACGUGGUGAUACAGAGGGAGGUCCUCCUCAGUGACGUGGUGAUACAGAGGGAGGUCCUCCUCAGUGACGUAGUGUUAGAGGGAGGUCCUCCUCAGUGAUGUGGUGUUAGAGGGAGGUCCUCCUCAGUGAUGUGGUGUUAGAGAGGGAGGUCCUUUCUAACUACAGUAGAAAUAGUAGAAUGUCUUUGCUACAGUGUUCAUCCAUCAUCCAUCCAUCCAGCCAUCUAUCCAUCAUCUAUCCAUCAUCCAUCCAUCCAGCCAUCAUCCAUCCAUCCAUCCAGCCAUCUAUCCAUCAUCUAUCCAUCAUCCAUCCAUAUAUCCCUCCCUCCAUCCAUCCAGCCAGCCAUCUGUCCAUCAUCCAUCCAGCCAUCUAUCCAUCAUCCAUCCAUCAUCCAUUCAUUCAAUCAUCCAUUCAUUAUUCAUUCAUUCGUUCGUUCAUUCAUCCAUCCAUAUAUCCAGCCAGCCAGCCAGCCAGCCAGUCAGUCAGUCAGCCAGCCAGGUAUAUCUGCAGGUAGCAGGUUCUUCUCUUGCUAUCGGAAUGACAGUGAUGACAUCGAGCUAGUUGAAUCACACUGAUGAUGUCAUCAAGCUUCAGAGUCAACUGUGUACCCCUCCGUAUCUCCAUGGUAACCUCCUGCGGAGCCAGCAGGGCGUCCCAGACAGUCCCUCAGCUGCUCCAGUGGUUCUGCUACUCCUCAGUGACACAUCCCAGAAGUCAUCU
ensembl:lncRNA